AUGGCAGGAAUCUCUCUCAUAUUUUUACUUUUUGUCACAACUCUGUUCUUCACGGGGAGUGUAUCGGACAUCUGCCGAGGACCGCGCUGCUUUUCUGGUCACGACUGGAGCAGACCGUGCGUGGGAGCUCAGUGCCAAGGGCGCACGGACACAUCCGUGUCCCGACGGCAGCUUGACCACUCUGCACAAUCCAGGCAAGGACAAACCUAUCCGACUUACCAACACGACGCUCAUUUCCGUCAGCACAAAGCACAGAGCGCGCCCUUAGCACCGUACACAGUCAUCCAACCUCAGCACGGAGGCUUUACGCAGGCGGCAGGUACGGAUGGCACCAGGAGGACGAACCCGAGGACCAUCACGGCGGAGGUGUUCCACCCUGGCUGUGCCGGGGGCACCUGUCCGACGACUGUCUCUCAUCGCCCCACGAGUGAUGACAGCGCAACGCGGGAGUGCAAAGGCAUUGGAUGCAAACUGCCCUCCCGGAUGCGCCAGAGGAACGGUAAGCUUUGCGUUGGCGACGGCUGCAGCACGCAAGGAGACGACGGGAGAAGAAGCUCGUCACCUGUUCAUGUGACGGACAGAGCGGCACAAUUUCUGGACGAGCUCCCAGACCUGGGGUCGCAACGUGGAGCAUGGAUUCAGCUGACAUGUGACAUGAAACCAGGGAACAAUGACGUUCCCUCAGAGGAUGCUCUAGUCCUGCAGUUGCAGCUGUCUAAGAGUCAGGAAAGGUUCGUCGAGGCCCUCAAGGGCCAACAAAACGAGGUCAAGGAGCUACAGAGGCUGCUCAGUGAGCAGCAAGGAACGUUGGUCAGCCAGCAGAGAGAAAUACUUGACCAGCAGAGGAGGAUGUAUGAGCAGAUGGAGCAAGUAAAGGCUCAGUACAACAUACUGAUGGACAGCAUCAAACAAACAUCUUUCCAGAACCUCCAGGGGGAGCUGGACAGUCGCAUGGAAACCUUGAGUGGGCGGGUUAGAGCUCACCAAGCACAGCAGGCUCUCUCUUUGCACAAAGUGGACAUGGAGGCCACUGUGAUGGAGGACAGAGAUGAAUGUCUUGAAAUAGCUGAUCUGUGCGGAGGUCAACAGAAGUGUCUCAACACUCCAGGUGGAUUCAGAUGCCAGGACAUGACAGAGCGAGAAGCACUUUCAGGAAUGUGCGGCCACGGCUACUUCUUCAACUCAGAGAUGGAUGAGUGUCAAGCCUGCAAUGAGUGUGAUGGAGACACGGUGGUUUCUCCUUGCACUUUUACCACAGACACUGUCUGCUCUGGCCAUGCUGCCGGCCACAGUGCCCUCUCUCAGUCCUGGUCUGGAGAUGUGACUCUGCAGGGGGAAAAAGGACACAUGCUGGCUCAAGCCUUCCUCGGUGUGCAGCUUCACAUACAGGGAAGAGGCGAUGAUCUGGUAUCCACUGAGAGCGGGCAGCUGGUUCUGAGGCAGCAUGGUCUCAUAUGGCUGGAUGAGAAUCUCUCAGUGACCCAUGGUUGCCGCAGCUUCAUCCAAGUGUGUCUGCGCAUGAACAACACAGCCGGCUCUGAAGGUCGUGACCUCAGUGGGGUUCGUGUGGAGCAGCGGGAGGGUAGGUCGCUCCAAGGUGUUAGCAUCAGUGGGGUAGCAGAGGUCGCCCCAGGUCACAUCAUAUCCCUCUUCCUCCGGAGUGCCACCCACCACUGUAACCAAAGCACUGAAGGUCUGCAGCUGUUCGACCCCUCCGUUGCCCCACUCAGCCUCCUCUGGCUCUCGCAUGACACCGGUGCGGUUGCCAUGACAGCACAGGCAAUGGUCUCUGCACAUUACCACACAAACUAUCGCCCAGUCUUCCGUACCACCUCCACCUCUGACCCUUAUGUAGUAGGACUUACUCAUGAUGGUCGCGGGAUCCGGUUUGCAGAGAGUGGCACUGUGCGUUUUGUAUUCCAGCAGGCAUUGUACUCGAUGGGCCAGGCAUGCGUGAGUGAGGGCUUCCAAAUUCUGGCAUACCUCAACCGUAAUGGAACCAGCAUGGAGCUGCUCCGUGCCUUUAAACCAGGUGUCCAUUACCGAGACACAUCAAUAGCACUGUCUGGAGCAGCUCAAGUUGGCCCGGGAGACACACUGGGUUUUGAGAUUCUCUCUCCUGCGCAGUGCAACGUUCGCUUCUUUGGUGACGAAACGGGUAUCAGUAUUCUCAGUUUGGUUUGGGUUCCCGCUGCCAUUUCUUCAUCUCUUUCUGCCUCUGUGGCUAACACCGGCCUUCUCUCUGGAGCAGUUCGUAACAAGCCAUUGUUCUUCCACCAGACCAGUCCUCAAGUGACCCAAAUGGAGCUGCUGGUGAAGGGAUCCGCAGAUCACAGACGAGAUUUUGUAUUCAGAGAGGGCGGUACAGUCAGUGUUGCUCUGGAUCUCAAACUCAUUCACUCCUGCAGUUUGGUCAAGGUGACUCUGCUCAGACGAAGUGAUUUAGAGGGUUCAGGAGAGGGAUCGAGGCCUAUCCCUGUUGCCCAGCAGGUAGCUGGCCAGAUGUCUGAGGGCAGCCAGUGGGCCAGUGUGAGUCUGCGAGCGUCCUUCCAGGUUCACAACGGCACUGCGGUUUUCUUUAUACUAGACUGUGUGCGUGGACGAGUAAACCAGAUCAGCCAUCAAACAGGAAGUGGGGUAUCUGUCCUCUGGGUGGCAUCAUAAUGAAAGCCAGAUAGUAUGAUGUUUCUUCUUAUGGUCAAAAAUCAAACCGUGAAAGUAACGAUUUGACUUUUUGGAGACUUAUUCACUUUCCAGAGAGUUACAAAGGAAGAUUGACACCACUUUCAUCUGUUUUAAUAGAGAAGCAUUAACCAGUAGCUUGUUAGCUUAGUCUGACAUUGUAAACUUGUGGAAAUAGCUUCUAAGAUUGUCCACAAGUAAUCUGUGAGCACCUUUAAACCUAAUUCAUUUGUUUAAUGUAAAAAAUGACCAAUUAAAAAAUCAACACUUUGUGAUUCUUAUGCAGUGUUGUGUAGCUAGACUCCCAGGCUUUGUGCUAAGCUAAGCUAACUGACUUUUGCUUAACUUGCAGACGUCAGAGCAGUGCCAGUCUUUUUGCUUAUUAUUAUUUUAGGUCAGAGUUAACCGUGCUUUCCAAACCUGAAUUUAUCCCUUGAUUUUGGUUUGAGUUUAAAAGAAAAUGUCUUUUAAAAAUGCUAAAUGUGGACUGUAGUGUAUUUAAAUGUAACAUUAUUCAUUAGCUAUAUUUAUAUAACUAUUAAUAUUGUGUCAUGAUUUCUACAUAUGAUAGCACAAAACAACUGUAUUCAUGUGAUAAUUUCUCAUUCUCCAGUUCUUCUUUUUUUAGUUCCAGUUUUUCACGUUUCCCAUUUGUCUGUUUUUUAUUUAUAUAAUUCAGUUUACUCUGUUGACGCCAAAGGAGUUUUAGAUCCUGCCAGUGACUACAGCAUUUUCUGCUGGCACUGAUUCUCAUUCAGGAGUUUUUACCAAGAGCAUGUGUUUCAUGUUAGCCGCCAUUUUCUAAAUGGCUAAAUAUCUACUGCAUGCUUUGUUUAAUGACCACUUUGUGCAUAUUAUGGACUUAAAGUCACUAAGCCUUGUUGAAACUAAAUAUUUUAAAUAAUGUACUGGCGUUUAAUCUUAACUGAACUGUAAUGAAGUGUAUAUUUGAUGUUUUCUUGUUAAUCCAAUAAAAUCACCUUUGUUGUACUGGAUUUUUCUUUAUUGCAAACUUUGUUUGGCAUGAAGUAAAGUCAUUUAAAGUGAGAUAAAGUUUGAAAGAAGAACGUUUGGUUCCUUUAAAUUACAACUUUUUAUU
ensembl:lncRNA